GAUGAACGCUAGCGGCAGGCUUAAUACAUGCAAGUUGAGGGGCAGCAUGAUAUACGCGAGUAUAUUGAUGGCGACCGGCGGACGGGUGAGUAAUAGGUAGGAGACCUACCUCAUACAGGGGGAUAGCAUAGAGAAAUCUGUGGUAAUACCCCAUGAGGUUAUAUGAAUAGAGGCAUAUAAUCAAAGCAUAAGCGAUUAUGCGGUAUGAGAGGGGCCUACUGACCAUUAGCUAGUUGGUGAGGUAAGGGCUCACCAAGGCGAAGAUGGUUAGGGGUUUUGAGAGAGAGACCCCCCACAUUGGAACUGAGAGACGGUCCAGACUCCUACGGGAGGCAGCAGUAGGGAAUAUUGGGCAAUGGGCGAAAGCCUGACCCAGCCAUGCCGCGUGAAGGAAGACGGCCUUAUGGGUUGUAAACUUCUUUACUACGCGAAUAGAGGUUAGUACGAGAUACUAAUAGGAAGGUAGUGUAGUAAAAGCAACCGGCUAACUCCGU
rnacentral:rRNA from 1 species